rnacentral:rRNA from 1 species
UACGUAGGGUGCAAGCGUUGUCCGGAAUUAUUGGGCGUAAAGAGCUCGUAGGCGGUUUGUUGCGUCGGGAGUGAAAACUUACAGCUUAACUGUGAGCGUGCUUCCGAUACGGGCAGACUUGAGGUAUUCAGGGGAGAACGGAAUUCCUGGUGUAGCGGUGAAAUGCGCAGAUAUCAGGAGGAACACCGGUGGCGAAGGCGGUUCUCUGGGAAUAUCCUGACGCUGAGGAGCGAAAGUGUGGGGAGCGAACAGG